UACGUAGGGGGCUAGCGUUGUCCGGAAUCAUUGGGCGUAAAGCGCGCGUAGGCGGCCCGGUAAGUCCGCUGUGAAAGUCAAAGGCUCAACCUUUGAAUGUCAGCGGAUACUGCCGGGCUAGAGUCCGGAAGAGGCGAGUGGAAUUCCUGGUGUAGCGGUGAAAUGCGCAGAUAUCAGGAGGAACACCAGCGGCGAAGGCGGCGCUCUGGGCCGGAACUGACGCUGAGGAGCGAAAGCGUGGGUAGCAAACAGG
rnacentral:rRNA from 1 species